UAUGAUUUCUAAAGAAUUCCUAUGAAACUAAACAAUACAAAAAGGGACUCAAAGCAGCCGAUGCCAUUUUGAAAAAAUUUCCAGAUCAUGGAGAAACUUUAUCAAUGAAGGGUUUGACAUUAAAUUGCAUGGAUCGUAAAUCUGAAGCAUAUAAACUGGUUUGCCAAGGAUUGAAGAGCAUCAAAAGUUAUUGAAAUUAUGGAAGCAUAUGAAGGGGCAUUAAAAGAUGAUUAUCCUCCAGAAAAUGAAAGGAUUGAGCAUGGGGAAAUUCUUUUUAUAUAUAAGGUAUU